rnacentral:tRNA from 1 species
GCGGCGGUAGUCUAGCCUGGUCAGGACGUCGGCCUUCCACGCCGAAGGUCGCGGGAUCGAAGCCCGCCCGCCGCA